rnacentral:lncRNA from 1 species
CAUGCGGUGUUGCGCCUGCGUAGCCGGCGGGCUGGCAGUGAGACUGACUGCGUCGGGGUUGAGACUGGGUGGAUGAGGCUCACCCCGGCGGGGAGAAGGGACGAGGAGGGGCGGACAGCGGAAGGUCCGGGAGUGUCCGCCAUAAAGUCGUUUGAGCUGAGUCAUUGAAAGCAGCCAGCUACAAACAGACACAUUCCAGGCAGUGGAGAAAGAGGAGAAAAAUGCCCCCUAACUUCUCAUCAGAAAAACAAAGGCCUAAUGAAAAUGGAAAGUUGUCUUUAAAGUGCUGAAGGGGGAAAAAAAACCUUCAUGCUAAAUAUGCUUCACGUAUGAGGAUGAACUCAAGUUUUAACUUCUAGUCAUGGCGAAUGAUCGCAGGAGAGCACAGACUGGACCCUGCUACGAUCUCUCUUGGAGUGGAUCAGACUGAUGAUCACCAACAACCAACUCAUUCCCGGAUAAGGAAGAAGAGAGUGUCACCUACUUCAGUGUGGUUUCAACCCUACUUCUGCAUCUUAAAGACACUUGUACAACGUUGGACACUGUGCAGGAUGAUGCCACUUCAUCUUGGAUGCUAAUCUGCCAUGUUGACUUCUGAUUAACCCCAGGCCCAGGAAUGCCUCAAGAUUUCUACUUUACUUACUGUUGCUUGUGUAAGCCAAGACAACCUUGAUGUUAUCAUAAACAUGUACUUACCUAAGUCCUGUCCUUUGGCAAAUUAUGGGCUAUGAGACACAGCAUUCUUGCCUUUCCCUGAGGGGUCAAUUUCAGCGAUCCUACACAUUCCUUCUGAAGCACUUAUGCUCUUUCUAUAUGGUAUGUAAGCUCUCGGUCUGGGGAGUAACAGUGCAGAGAUCUACCUGUCUUGUUGCCACAUGUUUCUAAACUUUCCAAUAAAUCACCUUCUACUGACAAA